UUCCGGUUGAUCCUGCCGGAGGUCACCGCUAUUGGGAUUCGAUUAAGCCAUGCGAGUCGCGAGGGUUCGGCCCUCGGCUGACGGCUCAGUAACACGUGGACAAUCUGCCCUUAGGUGGAGGAUAACCUCGGGAAACUGAGAAUAAGACUCCAUAGAUCUAGGAUGCUGGAAUGCACUUAGCUUAAAAACUUCGGUGCCUAAGGAUGAGUCCGCGGACUAUCAGGUAGUAGUUAGGGUAAAGACCUGACUAGCCUACGACGGAUAUGGGUUGUGAGAGCAAUAACCCAGAGAUGAUAUCUGAGACACGAUAUCAGGCCCUACGGGGCGCAGCAGGCGCGAAAACUUUGCACUGUGCGAAAGCACGACAGGGGAAUCCCAAGUGUUGGCUCUUCUUGAGUCAUCUGUUUCUCUGUCUAAAAAACUGAGAGAGUAAGGGCUGGGUAAGACGGGUGCCAGCCGCCGCGGUAAUACCUGCAGCCCAAGUGGUGAUCGUUAUUAUUGGGCCUAAAACGUCCGUAGCCGGUUUAGUAAAUGCCUAGGUAAAUUGUACGGCUUAACCGUACGAAUUCUGGGUAGACUGCUAGACUCGGAACCGGGAGAAGCUAGAGGUACUCCGGGGGUAGAGGUGAAAUUCUGUAAUCCUCGGGGGACGACCAGUGGCGAAGGCGUCUAGCUAGAACGGGUUUGACGGUGAGGGACGAAGCCCUGGGGCGCAAACGGGAUUAGAUACCCCGGUAGUCCAGGGUGUAAACGCUGCUCGCUUGAUGUUAGUCGGGCUCCGAGCCCGAUUAGUGUCGGAGAGAAGUUGUUAAGCGAGCUGCCUGGGGAGCACGGUCGCAAGACUGAAACUUAAAGGAAUUGGCGGGGGAGCACCGCAACAGGAGGAGCGUGCGGUUUAAUUGGAUUCAACGCCGGGAAGGGCGAAUUC
rnacentral:rRNA from 1 species